AGAAGAAGAAGAAGAAGAAGAAGAAGAAGAAGAAGAAGAAGAAGAAGAAGAAGAAGAAGAAGAAGAAGAAGCAGCAGUAGUAGAAGCACCAACUCACCUCAUGGAUGCUCCUCCCCAUGUAGCUAAUGUACUGCAGGAACACAGGGAAUCGAGAGGAACUCAAUGCAUCGUUUCCGUUGGAUACCUGCCCACAAGCGCUUGUGUGUAUGGAUUUACUUGAACUGUAUGAUAGGAUAAUCCCACUGGUUUACACUCAACAGAGAGUGCUUUCCAAUAAUGACUUUUCAAAGAGACAUCUGUGAAGCGUAGAAAAGGGAAGGAAUUAUGUGUGUCUGUCAAAAGGACGUACAUCAGGAACUGUCAAUGAGGUUAAUUGGCGACAUGCGUUCCUACCCUAUUGAAGGAGGCACUUAUGAGAUAACCCUUUGACCCCUUAUCCUGUUUGUCAUUCUACUUAAUGACUCAUCCAGAAAGAAGAUGAAUACACGACUAUGACAACUAUUACGACAGCAGACUGUAUUGAAGAUGUCUCCAGUCAAUGUACAUCUACAUUACAUUUGCUCUCUUUGGCUGUGAUUUCCAGAACGAUUUAACGACGGGAUAGGAGCCAUCAUAAGGAAUUAGCUUCAAAUGUUUGCAGGAUGUCUUGGGGCUUUGAAUGAAGAUGUGUUAAUCUUGGUUUUUCCACACUUUUUAUCACAAAUAUCCUAUCUGAACCAAUACAUUUUGAAUGUUGGAAUAAUAGGGUGGUAUCAUAGGAUCUGACUUGAUUUAAAGAGUGAAUCAUUAUCGGAAAUUCCUAGUCUUUUCUCUACUCUAGGCUAUCCCAUAAGGACAUGUGAAAAAGCACUGACAAAUGACUGCUUGUGCAAAUCCAAUUUAUGAUGCCACUACAGGGUAGUGUAUUGUCUCCAUGUGUGUAAUGCCUCAUCCCACUGCAAUAAAAAUGAAACAAAAGUCAACGCUUUUCCCAAAAGGGUGAUCCGUG
ensembl:lncRNA